UAACUACUCCCUCCGUCCCAAAAUUCUUGUCUUAGAUUUGUUUAGAUACGAAUGUAUCUAGUCAAGUUUUAGUAUUUAGGUACAUUCAUUUCUAGACAAAGCUAAGACAAGAAUUUUGGGAUGGAGGGAGUAUGAG
rnacentral:pre_miRNA from 1 species